UAGUAAGAGUAGUAGUUAUGAACCUGGUAGACCAUCCCCAUGGGGUUGGUGAAGGGAGGGCCCCAAUUGGUAGAAAAAAACCCACAACCCCUUGGGGUUAUCCUGUGCUUGGAAGAA